GGACUAAGCCAUGCGAGUUGAGCGUUCUCUAGCCACGGUGAGGACGCAGCGCACGGCUCAGUAACGCGUGGCUAACUUGCCCUUAGGACGGAUACAACCUCGGGAAACUGAGGCUAAUAUGCGAUAGGUGGGGAGGCCUGGAACGGUCCCUCACCCAAAAGGAAUUAGCGGCAUGCUUGCUAGUUUCGCCUUAGGAUAGGGCCGCGUCCGAUCAGGUCGCUGGUGAGGUAACGGCUCACCAGGCCUAUUACCGGUACGGGCCGUGAGAGCGGGAGCCCGGAGAUGGGCACUGAGAUAAGGGCCCAGGCCCUACGGGGCGCAGCAGGCGCGAAAACUUCGCAAUGCGCGAAAGCGUGACGAGGUCAUCCCGAGUGCCGUCCGCUGAGGAUGGCUUUUGCCCGGUUUAACUAGCCAGGUGAAUAAGGGGAGGGCAAGUCUGGUGUCAGCCGCCGCGGUAAUUCCAGCUCCCCGAGUGGUUGGGACGAUUAUUGGGUCUGAAGCGUCCGUAGCCGGCCGGAAAUGUUCCCCGUUAAAUCCAACGAUUCAAUCGUUGGGCUGCGGGGAUUACUUUUUGGCUUGGGGGCGAGGGAGGUCGGCGGUAGUCCCGGGGUAGGGGCGAAAUCCUAUAAUCCCGGGAGGACCACCAGUGGCGAAGGCGGCCGACUAAAGCGCGCCCGACGGUGAGGGACGAAAGCUGGGGGAGCGAACGGGAUUAGAUACCCCGGUAGUCCCAGCUGUAAACGAUGCAGGCUAGGUGUUGGGACGGCUACGAGCUGUUCCAGUGCCGCAGGGAAGCCAUUAAGCCUGCCACCUGGGAAGUACGGCCGCAAGGCUGAAACUUAAAGGAAUUGGCGGGGGAGCACCACAAGGGGUGAAGCUUGCGGUUUAAUUGGAGCAACUCCGGGAACCUUACCAAGGGCGACAGCUGGAUGAAGGUCAGAUUAAAGGUCUUACCGGACUAGCUAAGAGGAGGUGCAUGGCCGUCGCCAGUUCGUGCCGUGAGGUGUUCUCUUAAGUGAGACAACGAACGAGACCCGCACCUUUAGUUGCCACCGGAUUCCUUCGGGAUUCCGGGCACACUAGAGGGACUGCCCUCGCUAAGAGGGAGGAAGGAGCGGGCCACGGCAGGUCAGUAUGCCCCGAAUCCCUUGGGCCACACGCGAGCUGCAAUGGAUAGGACAAUGGGCUCCGACCCUGAAAAGGGAAGGCAAUCCUCAAACCCAUCCUCAGUUGGGAUCGAGGGCUGCAACCCGCCCUCGUGAACAUGGAAUCCCUAGUAACCGCAUGUCAUCAUCGUGCGGUGAAUACGUCCCUGCUCCUUGCACACACCGCCCGUCGCUCCAUCCGAGUCUGGCUCUGGUGAGGCGUGGCCUUGUUGGUCAUGUCGAGCCUAGGUUAGACAAGGAGGGAGAAGUCGUAACAAGGUG
rnacentral:rRNA from 1 species